rnacentral:rRNA from 1 species
GUGCCAGCAGCCGCGGUAAAACGUAGGUGGCGAGCGUUAUCCGGAUUUACUGGGCGUAAAGGGUGUGCAGGCGGGGUCUCAAGUGGUGUGUGAAAUCGCCCGGCUCAACCGGGCGAGGUCAGGCCAGACUGAGGCUCUGGAGUGCGGGAGAGGGGCGUGGAAUUCCGGGUGUAGUGGUGAAAUGCGUAGAGAUCCGGAGGAACCCCAGAGGCGAAGGCGGCGCCCUGGCCCGACACUGACGCUGAGACACGACAGCAUGGGGAGCGAACGGGAUUAGAUACCCCCGUAGUCC